CUGGGAAAUAGUAAGCUCCAUCUACCCCGAGGACGGGACAUAGGGGGGUGGGGGCUGAAGGCACGCCCCCGGGGGGUGGGGUCUGUGCUGUGACGGGGGAAGCAGGGCGGGAAGUUACUGUUGUGCUCUGGGCGCCAUCAUAGGGUGGUGGCCGUGGAACAAUAGAAACAACAUCAUCAUUGUGAACACUUCUAUGGUAAACAUGUACGAUUUGC